UACGUAGGUGGCAAGCGUUGUCCGGAUUUACUGGGCGUAAAGAGCGCGCAGGCGGUCGGAUUAGUCGCGUGUGAAAGCCCCCGGCUCAACUGGGGAGGGUCACGCGAUACUGUUCGACUCGAAGGCAGGAGAGGGGAGUGGAAUUCCCGGUGUAGUGGUGAAAUGCGUAGAUAUCGGGAGGAACACCAGUGGCGAAGGCGACUUCCUGGGCUGUUCUUGACGCUGAGGCGCGAAAGCUAGGGUAGCAAACGGG
rnacentral:rRNA from 1 species